CCGAGAAGUGCCGUUUUCGGCUUGGGAUCGUCACGACCACCGCCCUCACCUACGGUUCUCCCUCGGCCGCCGAGAAUGCGCUUUUUUCGGGCCGUUUGCCUUUUGGCUUUGACUUUUAAUAUAGUGGGAAAUGAGGAAAGACCACUGUUUACUGAGUCUAAGGGUGAAUCCCAUUUCACCCCUUGGCCCUACCCCUUACCCCUUUCCCUCCGUUUUGCGCGUUCACGUGUAGGGGUAGGGCUGUCCCAAUUCACGCUAAUGUGCAGGGGGAGGGCUUUCCACCCCUCCUAACGGAGGGCCAUGACUACCCUAACUCCAAACGGAGGGUUACGCGAAAUUUCCCAGGGUGCAAAGCGAUUACCCCGAGAAUCAUUUCCAAAAUGGCGGAGCCAAGGAAAGAAGUACACAAAUGGAGUCAAGCACAAACAAAGAGCCUUACCAGGUUUGAGAACCAAGAACGGUUCUUGAAGUCAAAAGCCUCGGCCAAACAACAGUGGGAGAAGCUGAUCAAGGAGCUGGGGCUGCAGGGGAAGAUGUCCUCCCAGCAGGUCUCCAAAAAAUGGGAGAAUUAAAAAAAAAAAAAGGACAAGGAGCUGAAAACUCCCUGCUCUGGGGGUGGGACAGAUGAAGGCCAGGAGACCGCCACAACGUGGCAAUAUUAUGAGGAUAUGCUGAGAGGAAGGGCAGCAAUGGACCCUUCACUCUUGGUGGAUGCAUGCGCAGAGGGGGAUGUCAUCAUCCAAAGUGCUUUGAACGUCGCUGAGCCCAGAAUGUGCCACGUGCUGUUCCUGCUCCAGUCACCCCACCAUCUCUUCAUUUUGUUUAUUGAUGGUUGUCUUAUGUUCAUUUUUUUAAUCUGGUCAUAUCCAUACUGUUUAUUUUCUGUAGUUGCACCACACACUUUCAGACACUUUAAGCUGUAAUUUGCACUAUGUUCACUAUUUCUGUAAAGAAGCUGCUAAUAAAAGAAAGGAAUAACAGUUUGUGAGCAUGAUUAUCACAUCAGCAUCAUAUGAAUGAAACGGAUAUUGGUUUGAAGAGAUUUAUUUUGUAAAAUAAAAAUGUGAUGCAUUACAUUAGAAUGUAAUGGGAAAA